rnacentral:sRNA from 1 species
CAAAGCUAAUUCCCUGCCCUUGAGCAGAAACCUGAAGGAAACAAGCAUAAGACAAAAGGAAAUUCCUGCUUUACGUAGUGGAAAACAAACUUUGUUAGCUUAUUUCCAAGUAAUACCUUCUCUUAGAAUAGAGUUCAUAAAUAAUGCUGUGGGUGAGAGAUCACUUAAUUGGUUGUUAACAGAAUCUGGGGAUGUUCUGGGAGCAAGAAUAACUUUGGGCAAACUUCAUGUUACUUAAGAAGGGUGUGGUUAUGCCCUUCCUCAAACUGCCACUUCCUUGACUGAAGCAAAAUAAAGGAUUAUAUGCUUGUGAUGAAGUCCUUGAAUACUCUAUACCAGAUAUUCUGUGGAUCCUAAGAGCCCUGAAGCCUAGCUUUUCGCUUUGAUUUUCUGAAUUGACUGACUGGACCUGUGAACUACAGAUGCACUACAUAACAAACUAGAGGCCGGGCGCAGUGGCUCACGCCUGUAAUCCCAGCACUUUGGGAGGCUGAGGCGGGCGGAUCACGAGAUCAGGAGUUUGAGACUAGCCUGGCCAACAUGGUGAAACCCCAUCUCUACUAAAAAUACAAAAAUUAGCCAGGUGUGGUGGCACGUGCCUGUAAUCCCAGUUACUAGGGAGGCUGAGGCAGGAGAAUCGCUUCUUGAACACAGGAUGCAGAGGUUGCAGUGAGCCGAGAUUGUGCCACUGUACUCCAGCAGCCGGGGUGACAAAGUAAGACUCCAUCUCAAAAAAAAAAACUAAACCAAAACUAGAAGCCCAGUCUGUGGGCUCCAGAGGGAGAGCUUACUUUCCAAAAAAGGUUUUAAUAAUUUAUGUUUUGGGUAUUGAUAUGGAGGAGUUACCUUUUAAUCUCUGGCUUCCAACAGUUGUUCCUAUUUCUACAUUCAUAAUAGUUCAGCUCCCUUAUUUGUUGAGAUUUUUUCUCUGAUUGCCAUACAUAUGAAAUUCAAUGUGCAGUUCCUUCUGCUCACAUUUGUAUUCAUGUAUAAAUUUCAAAAACAUUUCAAAAUGUCUUAUUAUUUAUUUGCAUUUCUUGAUAACUUUUGGUCUGUAUGGAUGACUAAGUUUUUGUUUACUAGGGAGAAGUGGAUACCAAAAAAUGUGGUUCUGCUUUGGUUUCCAGUCUUGCCACGGGCUUGAAACCAAGAUAUCAUUUUGCUGCUUUGGAAAAGACUUAUUAUGAGAGGCUUCCAUAUCGUGCUACCUUGCCCUGGCCAAAGGAGGCUUAUCUGAUGACCAUGUCCUCAUCCUGCCCAUUGGACACUACCAGUCAGUGGUGGAGCUUUCAGCAGAGGUGGUAGAAGAGGUGGAGAAGUAUAAGGCCACACUGAGACGGUUCUUUAAGAGUCGAGGGAAACGGUGUGUUGUAUUUGAGAGAAAUUAUAAGAGCCAUCACCUCCAGCUACAGGUCAUUCCUGUCCCAGUCAGCUGCUGUGCUACUGAUGACAUUAAAGAUGCCUUCAUUACCCAGGCACAGGAGCAGCAGAUAGAGCUGUUGGAAAUCCCAGAGCACUCUGACAUCAAGCAGAUUGCACAGCCAGGAGCAGCAUAUUUUUAUGUUGAACUUGACACAGGAGAAAAGCUUUUCCACAGAAUUAAAAAGAAUUUUCCUUUGCAGUUUGGAAGGGAGGUCCUGGCCAGUGAAGCCAUCCUUAAUGUUCCUGAUAAGUCUGACUGGAGGCAGUGUCAGAUCAGCAAGGAAGACGAGGAGACCCUGGCUCGCUGCUUCCGGAAAGACUUUGAGCCCUAUGACUUUACUCUGGAUGACUAAACAAAGGGAAGAACUUUUUAUGAACUCCAUAGGAAGUAGUAAAGCCUUUUUUUUUUUUUUUUAAUUAAAAGAAUUUUUUUCGAGACAAGGACUUGCUGUGUCACCCAAGCAGGAUUGCAGUGGCACAAUUGUGGCUCACUGUAGCCUCAACCUCCUGGGCUCUAGAGUUCCUCCCACCUCAGCCUCAUGAGUAGCUGGGACCACAGGCGCAUGCUACCAUGCCUGGUAUGGUAUUUUUUAUAGAGAUGGCGGGGGUCUCCCUGUGUUGCCCAGGCUGGUCUGUAAUGCCUAGGCUCAAGGGAUCCUCUGCCUUGGCUUCUUAACCGGCUGGGAUUACAAGCAUGAGCCACCAUUCCUGGCCUAGAAGCCUAUUUUUAAAGAAACUACAAUCUCCCAUGGGGACUGUUUCCCUGCCUCUUUUGUGCAGUCCCAUGGAACUUGCCUGCAGCAAGAGGCCUAAGAUUUAAUCUUUUUGGGGAAAAGUCAUUCUAGGAUGAAAAUCCUAUGUUAAGGCCGGGCGCAGUGGCUCACGCCUGUAAUCCCAGCACUUUGGGAGGCCGAGGCAGGUGGAUCACCUGAGGUCAGGAGUUUGAGACCAGCCUGGCCAACAUGGUGAAACCCCGUCUUUACUAAACCUACAAAAAUUAGCUGGGCGUGGUGCCAGGCGCUUGUAAUCCCAGCUACUCGGGAGGCUGAGGCAGAAGAAUCGCUUGAACCUGGGAGGUGGAGGUUGCAGUGAGCCAAGAUCGCUCCAUUGCAUUCCAGCCUGGGUGACAGUGAAACUCCAUCUCAAAAAUAAAAUAAAAGAAUAAAAGUAUGUCUGUCAUCCAGCUCCAAGUACAGCUUGUGUAUAUCAACAUUUUCAAAAACCUUUAAACUACCAAAUGAAAUCCAGAUGUUUUUC